rnacentral:rRNA from 1 species
UACGGAGGGUGCAAACGUUGCUCGGAAUUAUUGGGCGUAAAGCGCACGUAGGCGGUCCGCUAAGUCGGGUGUGAAAUCCCUCGGCUUAACCGAGGAAGUGCAUUCGAAACUGGCGAGCUUGAGUACGAAAGAGGAUCGCGGAAUUCCCGGUGUAGAGGUGAAAUUCGUAGAUAUCGGGAGGAACACCGGUGGCGAAGGCGGCGAUCUGGGUCGAUACUGACGCUGAGGUGCGAAAGCGUGGGGAGCAAACAGG